rnacentral:lncRNA from 1 species
GGGCGGCAGCGGCGGCCGCGGGGGCGCCCGGCGGCGGCAGGAGCGGCGGUCCCCGCGGGGCGCGGCGACAGGACGGGCAGCCUCCUCCAGCCUCCCUGCUCGCUCUCUCAUCACUUCUGUUUCUCCCAGCCACAGCCCUCACACUUUUCUUUCUCGAUCCCCCUCUUCCUGCCCCCCCCACUCCCACCUUCUCCUCCUCCUCCUCCUCGCCGCUCUCUCCCGAGCACUGAUUUGUUUCAAUAAAUCGAGCUCAAAUCCCCCGGUGGCAGCCGUCUCCGUCUCCUCCUCCUCCUUCCCCUCCCGCUCCCCUCUCCGCCUGGCUCAGCUUGAUGCUGCUCAAGUUGUGAUGCAGCCCAAAAAACCGAUCCCCUUCUCCUCAAUCCGAGGCAAAGGCGUGUUUUCCCAGCUGCCUUCGCCUCCGCUUGCAAGCCCCCCACUCAGCCCACCGGCGCCGCUAACCCCAUCACUGCCCCGACUCCAGCCGCCGCCUCCGCCCGGCUCCUGAAAUAGCCCCGCGGCUGCCGGGGCCGCUCCGACUCGGCGCUGCCCGCCCGUGCGCAGGAUCCGCCCCCUCUGUCAACCAGCCAGGCUGCUCUCCUCCCGCCCGGCAAACUACUUUCCUCGCACGCUUUAUUAUAGGAACGCCUCUGCCAGCCUCUUCCUAUCAGAAAGCCUCAUUUAGGGAGAAAUUUUGAUCUCCCAGCCAUGAGCUAUAUGGUGUUGCUCGUUUUGGUUGGGUUUCUUUUUUCCCCGAAGCUAAGACUUCAUGAAAACCCUCUCUCCAGGGACUGGCAGCAACAAAACAACAGCCACCGCAUUAUCUCUCUGCUCAAGGCAGAUACAGGUUCACCUAGAGGCAGAGCCGAGUAUCCGAGGAUAUCAGCAAGUUCCUGGCUCUGGCUGUACUACAAAAGACAGAUCCGUCCUUUUGGAACAGGGAGAUAUGAAACUGCAGCCCUUACAUUUGCAAAGCACCCGAAGAGUAAAUGUAAGGGAGGAGAGGCUCAGGCGUGGGAAAGAGGCACAGCCUUAAUGGAAAGAGCAGAGCAGCACCAGCCGGGAUGUUUCCGCUUCUUCUGCGGACCUUGGAGUAGCCUCGGUGGCUGCCUUAUCAGACGAAAGUGGUCUCCAGGAAUUGGGAGCAGCUCCACGGCAGCGCCCCGGGCAGCCGGCGUGGGCAGCGCGGGCCGGGAGAGCGGUGAUGGGCGGGAUGUCGGCGGGGCCGGGGGCGAGGGCGGCUCCAGCCCCGGGAGGAAGCCGGGGCUUGGAGCGACAGCGGAGGGGGAGGAGGUGGCCAGGGUCCCUCCCCGUCCCCGGAUGUCAUGUUAUAUCGCUGUGCAUCACCGACCACGAGCUCCUGCAGGCAAAGAGGACUAA